GAUGAACGCUGGCGGCGUGCCUAAUACAUGCAAGUCGAGCGAACAGAUGAGAAGCUUGCUUCUCUGAUGUUAGCGGCGGACGGGUGAGUAACACGUGGGUAACCUACCUAUAAGACUGGGAUAACUCCGGGAAACCGGGGCUAAUACCGGAUAAUAUUUUGAACCGCAUGGUUCAAUAGUGAAAGACGGUUUCGGCUGUCACUUAUAGAUGGACCCGCGCCGUAUUAGCUAUACGCAGUUUAAUCGGCUUACAAGCGAACGCAUACGGUAGCCCGAACUGAGAGAAGUGUGUGAAUCCGGCCACCACUUGAAACUGAGGACAACCGGUUCCAAGAACCUCCUAACGGGGAGGGCAAGCAGUUAGGGGGAAUCUUUCCGGCAAAUGGGCGAAAAGCCCUGAACGGGAAGCCAAACGCCCGCGUGAGUGAUUGAAAGGGUCUUCGGGAUUCGUAAAAACUCUGUUGUUUAGGGGAAGAACCAAAAUUUGUUAAGUAAACUGAACAAAGUCUUGACGGUACCUAACCAGAAAGCCACGGCUAACUACGUGCCAGCAGCCGGCGGUAAUACGUAGGUGGCAAGCGUUAUCCGGAAUUAUUGGGGCGUAAAGCGCGCGUAGGCGGGUUUCUUAAGUCUGAUGUGAAAGCCCACGGCUCAACCGUGGAGGGUCAUUGGAAACUGGGAAACUUGAGUGCAGAAGAGGAGAGUGGAAUUUCCAUGUGUAGCGGUGAAAUGCGCAGAGAUAUGGAGGAACACCAGUGGCGAAGGCGGCUCUCUGGUCUGUAACUGACGCUGAUGUGCGAAAGCGUGGGGAUCAAACAGGAUUAGAUACCCUGGUAGUCCACGCCGUAAACGAUGAGUGCUAAGUGUUAGGGGGUUUCCGCCCCUUAGUGCUGCAGCUAACGCAUUAAGCACUCCGCCUGGGGAGUACGACCGCAAGGUUGAAACUCAAAGGAAUUGACGGGGACCCGCACAAGCGGUGGAGCAUGUGGUUUAAUUCGAAGCAACGCGAAGAACCUUACCAAAUCUUGACAUCCUUUGACCGCUCUAGAGAUAGAGUCUUCCCCUUCGGGGGACAAAGUGACAGGUGGUGCAUGGUUGUCGUCAGCUCGUGUCGUGAGAUGUUGGGUUAAGUCCCGCAACGAGCGCAACCCUUAAGCUUAGUUGCCAUCAUUAAGUUGGGCACUCUAGGUUGACUGCCGGUGACAAACCGGAGGAAGGUGGGGAUGACGUCAAAUCAUCAUGCCCCUUAUGAUUUGGGCUACACACGUGCUUCAAUGGAUAAUACAAAGGUGCAGCGAAUCCGCGAGGCCAAGCUAAUCCUCAUAAAAUUAUUCUCAGUUCGGAUUGUAGUCUGCUACUAGAGUACAUGAAGUAGGCUAGUGCUUGUAGUACAAUAUUUCUCAGGUAUACAUAUAGACGGGUCUUGUACACACCGCCCGUCACACCACGAGAGUUUGUAACACCCGAAGCCGGUGGAGUAACCUUUUAGGAGCUAGCCGUCGAAGGUGGGACAAAUGAUUGGGGUG
rnacentral:rRNA from 1 species